GAUGAACGCUAGCUACAGGCUUAACACAUGCAAGUCGAGGGCAGCGAGGGCGUAGCAAUACGCCUGUCGGCGACCGGCGCACUGGUGAGUAACACGUAUGGAAACCUGCCCGCCACAGGGGGAUAACCGGUAGAAAUGCCGACUAAUACCCCGUAUGCCCACAGGGGCGCAUGCCCUGGUGGGGAAACAUUCAUGGGUGGCGGAUGGCCAUGCGGCGCAUUAGCUGGUUGGCGGGGUAACGGCCCACCUAGCCGACGAUGGGUAGGGGUUCUGAGAGGAAGGUCCCCCACAUUGGAACUGAGACACGGUCCAAACUCCUACGGGAGGCAGCAGUGAGGAAUAUUGGUCAAUGGGCGAGAGCCUGAACCAGCCAAGUAGCGUGUGGGACGAAUGCCCUAUGGGUUGUAAACUGCUUUUAUAAGGGAAUAAAGUGAGCCUCGUGAGGCUUUUUGCAUGUACCUUAUGAAUAAGGACCGGCUAAUUCCGUG
rnacentral:rRNA from 1 species